rnacentral:rRNA from 1 species
CAGUAGCCGCGGUAAUCCGAAGGGGGCUAGCGUUGCUCGGAAUUACUGGGCGUAAAGGGCGCGUAGGCGGACAGUUCAGUCGGGGGUGAAAGCCCGGGGCUCAACCUCGGAAUUGCCUUCGAUACUGGCUGUCUUGAGUAUGAGAGAGGUGUGUGGAACUCCGAGUGUAGAGGUGAAAUUCGUAGAUAUUCGGAAGAACACCAGUGGCGAAGGCGACACACUGGCUCAUUACUGACGCUGAGGCGCGAAAGCGUGGGGAACAAACAGGAUUAGAUACCCCCGUAGUCCCUGUCUCUUAUAC